AUUGAACGCUGGCGGCAGGCCUAACACAUGCAAGUCGAGCGAGCGGCGGACGGGUGAGUAAUGUCUGGGAAACUGCCUGAUGGAGGGGGAUAACUACUGGAAACGGUAGCUAAUACCGCAUACCAUCAGAUGUGCCCAGGUGGGAUUAGCUAGUAGGGGGGGUAACGGCUCACCUAGGCGACGAUCCCUAGCUGGUCUGAGAGGAUGACCAGCCAAACUGGAACUGAGAAACGGUCCAGAUCCCUACGGGAGGCCGCAGUGGGGAAUAUUGGACAAUGGGCGCAAGCCUGAUGCAGCCAUGCCGCGUGUGUGAAGAAGGCUUUCGGGUUGUAAAGCACUUUCAGCGGGGAGGCGUUACCCGCAGAAGAAGCUCCGGCUAACUCCGUGCCAGCAGCCGCGGUAAUUC
rnacentral:rRNA from 1 species